UAGGUGGAGAUGUGAGGUAGCCUCCUUUUUGAAGGUUCUAAGCCUUAGCAACGUAUCAAUAAUGGAUGGUUUGUUUUCGAACAUUCUUUUGUUUUUGAUCUGAGAUUCCAUGAAAGGCUUGGAUAACAUUUUCUUCUCUGUUAUACAGGGAUUGGUCCAGUACCUACAGAGGCUCAAAUCACAAUUUUCUUUGUUUAAAAAAAACAAAACAAAAAAACCAAAACCUUUGUCAUUCCAUGGUUGCAAACUGAUUUUGCCCACCCCUCGUAUCUUUUCCUGGCUGAACAUUUGUGAGGUCGCAUACGCUUGACUUUUUUUCUUUUUUGACUCCACUCGCGUGCGUCCCUUUGUCGUGUUGCCGGUAGAUCCGCUUCGACUACAUUCGUCCGAGUGGUCUUCCUCUUUGGAGAACGUUGAAGGACGGACUGGGACUGGCGCGCUUAGCCCAGUGAGUGUAUGGAAUGUCUUUCCCUUUGCUUGUCUUGUUCAAGAUGUUUUAUUAAAAAUGACUUUGGGUCAAAUGCUUUCUCUCCUGUCAUUUUUUAUUUGGAGUUUUAAAUCAUCGACAGUUUACACGUAGCGCAUCUGAAUGAACCUUUCAUCCUAAAUGGAUGAAUGAAUGAAUGAAUGAUUUGGUAUGAAGGUAAUGUGUUAUUGUACCUCCUGCGUAAGAGGGCCAGCUCUUGUUUUAACUUGACAUUUGAACUAUGAUGUCACUUUAACUGUAAUGAAUCCAGUAGUGAUGUCAUCAACGGGCAGUUUAGCUGGUUGUUUGGCUUUCAGGUUGGAGGUGUGUUGCUGGGAAGUAUGGAGGACCAAGAGUGUCAACAUUAAGUAAAAUGCAUCAAAUGUGCCGUGAAUUAUUUCUUUCACAUUUUUAAUUCUACUUCCAUUUUCUAAGCCGCUUACCCACACUAGCGUCGCGGGUGUGCUGGUUCUGGUACACCUGAACUGGGUGCCAGCCAAUCACUGGUUCAUUAUUUCAAUAUUAUUUCACUAUUUGAUUAGUCCCGCCCACUGGGUUUGGGGGCGUAGAAUGGUAUACAUUUCAUGAUCCAUACGCACGGGCUACCGAACGGUGCCAACCCGAACUGUAUAAUGGAGUAAAUAGUGAAAUAAUUCAAAUAUCGAUAUGUUGCAAAAAUAGUUACAUGUGAAUAAAUGCAAAUCAUAUAACACAUUUGUUUGUUGAUUUAUUGAUCUAAUUUUGACACUCUUGGUCCUCCAUAUGGAAGAGGCCUGUCUCGUUGCACAAGACGCGGCCAAUCACACAAAGGCCUCAGCGGGUUGCUAGGCAGAGGUGGACGUUGGCGACCAAUGAGGUGAGCGCACAGGAAGCCGAGCGUGACCGAGUGACAUCCUCACAGCAUCCGUUGAAGAUCCUGGAAAACAACCGGAAUGCCCAACAAAAUGAAGAAAGACAAGGAAACGAGCAAAAGUGGCAAAAGCAGCGCCAAGAGCGCAGAUGGCAACACGGACGCCAACGAAGACGUUCCAGUAGACGCCACCGACGAGAGUGCGGGGAAGCGUCCCGCCGGUCCGCCGCCCACUCAGCUGCACAAGAUCAAAUAUUGCGGGGGUCCGCAAGUGGCGAAGAAGGAACGACGUCACAGUUCGUCUCGAUUCGGCAUCAGCGGCAACAGAGAACUCGGCAAACUCCCUCCCCUCAAAGAUGCGGCGGCGAUGGAUCGCGAAGAACUUUUUGUGCAGAAGCUCCGUCAGUGCCGCGUCCUGUUUGACUUUGUGAGCGACCCACUUAGUGACCUGAAGUUUAAAGAAGUCAAGAGAGCCGGGCUCCACGAGAUGCUGGACUACAUCGCGCACAACGCGGACGCGCUCACCGAGGCCGUCUACCCCGAGGCCGUCGGCAUGUUUUCAGUGAACUUGUUCCGGACUCUUCCGCCAUCCUCCAAUCCCACCGGAGCGGAGUUUGACCCCGAGGAGGACGAACCUACGCUGGAGGCCGCCUGGCCUCAUCUGCAGCUGGUUUACGAGUUCUUCCUUCGCUUCCUGGAGUCUCCGGACUUCCAAGCCAACGUGGCCAAAAAAUACAUGGACCAAAACUUUGUCUUGUCGCUUCUGGAACUGUUGGACAGCGAGGAUCCUCGAGAAAGGGACUUCCUGAAAACCAUCCUGCACCGCAUCUAUGGCAAGUUCCUGGGCUUGCGCGCAUACAUCCGGCGGCAGAUCAACAACAUCUUCUACAGGUUCAUCUACGAGACGGAACAUCACAACGGGAUCGCAGAGCUGCUGGAGAUUCUCGGGAGUAUCAUUAACGGCUUCGCUCUUCCGCUCAAAGAAGAACACAAGAUGUUCCUGAUCAGAGUCCUUCUGCCCCUUCACAAAGUCAAGUCCCUCAGCGUCUACCACCCGCAGCUGGCGUACUGCGUGGUCCAGUUCCUGGAGAAGGACAGCAGUCUGACAGAACCAGUGAUCUUGGGGCUGCUGAAGUUCUGGCCUAAGACUCACAGUCCCAAGGAAGUGAUGUUCCUCAACGAGCUGGAGGAAAUCCUGGACGUCAUCGAACCCGCCGAGUUCGUCAAAGUCCACGAGCCGCUCUUCAGGCAGCUGGCCAAGUGCGUGUCCAGCACGCACUUCCAGGAAGCUGCAAAUCCGCUGGCAGAUGGCAGGCGAGACGCUGAGCUGGAGAAGCUUGGAGGACAGGAGUUCGGGGAUGACGGCGUUGAACGCAGAGCCGAAGUCCACGAACGGGAUCCUCGCGUGGCAGAGCGCGCUCUGUACUACUGGAACAACGAGUACAUCAUGAGUUUGAUCAGUGACAACGCGGCCGGCAUCCUUCCCAUCAUGUUUCCUGCCCUCUACAAGAACUCCAAGAGCCACUGGAACAAAACCAUCCAUGGCCUGAUCUACAACGCUCUCAAGCUCUUCAUGGAGAUGAACCAGAAACUCUUUGACGUCUGCACUCAACAGUACAAGAGCGGCAAACGCAAAGAAAAGCACAAAAUGAAGGAGAGGGAGCAAAUCUGGAGUAAACUGGAAGAACUGGCAAGACACAAUCCUCAGAGCUUGAGAUGGACUUAACGGCGCUCGCGUGUUUUGGACGCCUCGCUGUGGCGGGUUCGCGCCGCAAGCGUGUGGAAAUAUUUGAGGAAAGAUGGGAUUGAGUGAGAAGCUCCUCCCCCCGCUACGCGGACUCCACCUGCAGGAAACGUUGUCUAGCGCGCCAUCCACGGACGCCGACGUUCCGACGAUGGAGGACAUCCAACUGUUGAAGAGGGCGGUAGCGAGUCAAGCGCCGCCGG